UGAUGACUCAUAACCGAACAUCACGAGUCAUGACGUGACUCAUAGUCACUGGCGAUAAUUUUUCCUGUAUUUUAAUUAAGGGUACUAUGGUCAUUUUCCUCAUUGCCCAAUUAAAACCCAUGACCUAAAAUACCCUAAGAGACCCUAUUACUACCCAAUACGCCAUCCUAAACUAAUCUUUACUCUCUUAAAUCGCCAAGGCAAGAAUAAGUAGUGUUUCUAAGGAUUU
rnacentral:lncRNA from 1 species